UACGGGAGGCAGCAGUGGGGAAUAUUGCACAAUGGGCGCAAGCCUGAUGCAGCCAUGCCGCGUGUAUGAAGAAGGCCUUCGGGUUGUAAAGUACUUUCAGUCGUGAGGAAGGUGUUAAGGUUAAUAACCUUAGCAAUUGACGUUAGCGACAGAAGAAGCACCGGCUAACUCCGUGCCAGCAGCCGCGGUAAUACGGAGGGUGCGAGCGUUAAUCGGAAUUACUGGGCGUAAAGGGCACGCAGGCGGUUAAUUAAGUUGGAUGUGAAAUCCCCGGGCUUAACCUGGGAAUGGCAUUCAAGACUGGUUAGCUAGAGUCUUGUAGAGGGGGUAGAAUUCCGAUGUGUAGCGGUGAAAUGCGUAGAGAUGUGGAGGAAUACCGGUGGCGAAGGCGGCCCCUGGACAAAGGCUGACGCUCAUGUGCGAAAGCGUGGGGAGCGAAACAGGGAUUAGAUACC
rnacentral:rRNA from 1 species